CUUGAAUACACACAGGUGCUAUUGCCAGCUUUGGUUAUUUCCUCUCUGAAGUAAGAGAGGCAUAUUGGAUUUCAGGUUCCCAAGUAAUUACCAAUCUGCUCUUGCAUGCUGGAAGAAAGCAUUUGCAAUAUAUUCUUGAAUAUUGAGAUGGUGGAGGGAUGAAUUCUGCCCUAAUGCUAAUGAGGAAAAAGACAAGAACCAGACUAAUGAGAGAAAAACAACCAUGUAUCUCCUGAGUUAGUAUGGAUGAAAUACUACAGCCUUUAUUAAACAUUGCUAAUAAAAAAAGUGGCUCCUCUCUGUUUAAAUGACUGUGUUUGUAUUACCAGAUAUAAAAACAAGAUGUCCCAAUCUAGCAUCCUGAAUACCAAAGAAAUGUAUAUUGCUCUGUGUUCAUAAUGCAAUACAGGAAGUUUUAGAUCAUAAUAUGAUCUAACAACAAGUAGAUCUAGUCAUCAAUAUACUUGCUUAAUGUGUUGUCCACAUUUUCCAACUCUCAUGUAGUUUUCAGCCUAAGAAGUUAGCAAAAUCUGACCAUGAUAUCGAGCUGUGUUGACAAAGAAAUAACUUCACCAUAACAGAAUAGACAUCAAACUUACAGUCAAUAUUGAUGUCAACAGAUGAUCUUACUGACCAAAGCAACAUUUUUAUUAAUAUCUGAAUAGCCUAUGAUGAUGGAAGGAAGUGAAUGCAAGCUGGAGAAUAAGAUUUUGAGAAGAUGCUUAGUUUCUAUGGAGGAAUAGUUGCACUAAGAGAUGUUAAAGAAAAAAGAGGGUUAUUACAUAUCCUAAAUUUCAGCUGAAUAU
rnacentral:lncRNA from 1 species